rnacentral:misc_RNA from 1 species
GAAAAGACAGACAACAAAAACUUUUUCUUCGUGUGGUGUCCGUUGAUAAAGAACUAAAUUUAAAUUUAAUUAUUGUUGUUGUUGUUUAUAACGCGAUGAUACGUCUUGCCGGUAUGAAUAGUUUAUUAAUAAACGACGCGUUAACAAUGUGAAUUUAUUGUUUAUUUUAAAAUGUCGCUAAUAGACUCGCGAUUCGUAAUCAAACAGGGGUACAUGGUAAAAAGGUCCCAAAAUAAAAAGGCCUACACUCUGGUCAAUUAUAAAAAACGAUGGUUCGUUUUAACUAAACGAUUUUUGAUUUAUUACGACGAUGAAAACGAAGCGAAACGUAAAGAAAAGGGAAAAAUCGAACUCGAACGCGUGCACACCGUCGAGGCCGCCCAACCCAUAUUCACUAAAGAAGAGGUAGGAGUCGAGGGGGAGUUCUUCCCAUUUUUAGUAAGUUACCACAAGGAGGAAGACUACACGUUGUUCCUAUUGGCCGUCAGGGACUUGGAUCGCAUUUAUUGGAUAUUGGCCAUCAGAAAUGCGUGUGCCCAUAAUAGAGACGUAAGAAGUUAUUUUCAUCCGGCCCCCUGGAACGGCAGGAAGUGGCUCUGCUGCAAAAAUAGCACGAAAUUAUCGGAAGGCUGCCGGGAGUGCGAUAAUUGGGUGCCGAGCCCCCCGGGGAGCCCCUCGAAGGAUAGCCUUAAGGAGAAUUAUAGGGGACAGGAUAAUAUAAACAGCGCCCAAUCCAGCCCCAUCAUGCCGGGAGGUGGCCCCCCGGGCACUCCCUCCUCCACCCCCAAAGACAAACAAACUGUCCCCAAACGGAAAGUGGUGGUGGCCCUCUACAACUACAAAGCGGUCGAAGCGGAGGACCUCAGUCUCGAGAAGAAUAUGGAGUACGAGGUGAUCGACGAUAGUCAGGAACACUGGUGGAAAGUCCGGGAUUCUAAAGGAAAUAUCGGCUUCAUUCCGAGCAACUAUGUCAAGGAGAAGGAGCUGAUUGGGCUCCAACAGUACGAUUGGUACGUGAACGAUAUGUCCAGACAAAGAUCCGAAUCUCUUCUAAAACAUGAAGACAAGGAAGGGUGCUUCGUCGUCAGGAAUUCCUCCACAAAAGGAUUAUAUACCUUGUCCCUAUACACUAAAAUUCCCCACCCUCACGUGAAACAUUAUCACAUAAAAAAGAACAGCCGGGGCGAGUUUUUCCUGUCGGAGAAGCACUGCUGCAACUCGAUACCGGAUUUGAUCAACUACCAUAAGCACAACAGUGGCGGACUGGCGUCCCGAUUAAAAACCAGCCCUUGUGAUAGACCGGCCCCACCUACAGCCGGACUUAGCCACGAUAAAUGGGAAAUAGACCACCAGGAACUGAUGCUGCACGAGGAACUGGGCUCGGGUCAAUUCGGGGUGGUGCGACGGGGCAAAUGGCGGGGAACCACCGACGUCGCCGUAAAAAUGAUGAAAGAGGGCACCAUGUCCGAAGAUGAUUUUAUCGAGGAAGCCAAGGUUAUGACGAAACUGCAGCACAGCAACUUGGUGCAACUAUACGGAGUGUGCAGCAAAAAUAGGCCAAUUUUCAUAGUGACGGAAUACAUGAGGCACGGGUCUCUCUUAAACUACUUGCGGAGACACGAGACGUCUUUGUCGACGAACCAGGGACUGUUGUUAGAUAUGUGCAUACAGGUGUGUAAAGGGAUGUCGUACUUGGAAAGACACAAUUACAUACAUAGGGACCUGGCGGCGAGAAACUGCUUGGUCGGUACUGAAAAUAUCGUUAAGGUUGCCGAUUUUGGAUUGGCAAGGUACGUAUUGGACGACCAGUACACGUCUUCUGGUGGAUCGAAAUUCCCUAUUAAAUGGGCCCCUCCGGAGGUCCUGAAUUAUACUCGGUUCUCGUCAAAAUCGGACGUUUGGGCAUACGGUGUAUUAAUGUGGGAAGUGUUUACCUGUGGCAAAAUGCCUUACGGCAGGAUGAAAAACUCUGAAGUGGUGGAGAGAGUGCAGAAUGGCAUUAUACUAGAGAAACCCAAAGCUUGUUUUAAGGAAGUAUAUGAUGUGAUGAAGAAAUGUUGGUCGCCCCUACCAGAAAACCGGCCGUCGUUCCGCGUAUUAAAAGACACCCUGAUGAGCGUCUCGCAGGGCAUCUUAGUCGAUUGACUGGCCCAGUUGGUGUGCGACACGGUGGCGAGACGGGGCGUCGCCCCUUUGGACGACGGCGCCCCCAGCAGUAGCAGCAGCAGCAGCGUCGUAGCAGCGGCCUCCUCUCACCACCAGCCCGCUCCCCAGGACGGCUACGAGGAGGCGUGGCUCGGCUUUUGCCGCACGCUGUGCAGGGAGGCGCGCAGGACACGCAGGAGGACCAACUACGAGGUUCCGUAAAAAAAAAAAAAACAAACAAACAGAGGGCGUUCAUUUCAGUUUUUUUUUAUUAUUAUUAUCGUUUAAAUGAUUCCGAUAUUUUUUUCAAGGCACUCGGGGACUUACAUAUGUUGUUUUUGUAAAACUUGCCUCGAGUUGUUGUAGUCAAUAUUUGAACGUGUUGAAAAAGGUAUCGGGGUGAUGCUGGCGAAGGUCACUAUUAAUAGAAUAUGUUGCCGCGGUUUAUUUAUUUUUUAGAAAUUAAAUGCGAGGGAGGAUUGAAAAGAUUCCAUGUUUUGAUGAAAUUUCUUUGAAGCUUUUAAUUUAAUAAUACCAUAAGUCCUAUAAAGUGGAGCUACAUUGAGACACUUUUAAAUGUUUUUGUUGAUAUAUGAUUGACUGCGCCCUGAGAACCAUCUUGUAUGGAUGAAAACGAAGAUCCUUGUGAAGAAUUCUUCGCACAGUGCGGUCAGAUAAACGAAGGGCAGCUGCGGGUCUCCGUGCAGGACGUCUAGGUGACCGUAAAAAUGAGCGUCUCACAGUCUCGAUGUUUUCGGGUGUCCGAGCUGUCCGUCGCCGUCCACCUCCUUUUUUGAUAACGGAUCCAGUUUCUCUGAAGUUCUUGACCCACAACACAAUUGAUUUUCGGUCCGGGACUCCUUCAUUUCGCGGAAUUUGGAACCUUAUCCGGAACGCUCGUUGCGCAGCAAUAACUGACCGAUUUUCGCGGAGGUACACUUCGACGGCGAAUGCGCGCUCUGCGUUGGUCCACAUGAUGCUUCAGACUAAAACAUGUUUAAACAAAACUGUUUCCCAUACGGCUCUUAGUGGCGCACAGUGACGACUUUUGCUAAUCUAGGGGAACAAAAGUAUUACUUUGUAAUAGACACAAUUUUUGUGUGCCAAAUUUAUAUUUUAUGCAUAUAUUAGUAAAGAGAAGUAAUUUUUAAGCAGUACCGUGCGCAGGGGGCAAGCCCUCCCCCCUCCUAGUGCUCAAAAAUUAACUCUUUUAAAAAGCAAAUCCCUCCAAUACUUUUUGGGUAUAUAAUAGUUAGGUUAUUUUAAAAAAAUACCCAACGACCCCCCCCCCCCCCUCCCCCCUGAAACACCCCUCCCAGAACCACUGUUUUAAGCUUACAUUUUUUUAAUAUAAAACAAAAAAUAUCUCAAUAUUUUUUUUAUUAAUUGAAAAUAUUCUAAGCUGUCUUUAAAGAUCUGUAUUGUAGUAUUCAAGUAUUUCUAAUUAAAAUAAAUUAGAUAAUAAUUAUUCUUUUGCUUACAUAUUACAAAAAAGAUAAAUAUUUUCUUAAGUCUAAACACAAAUUAAAAAUUGGCUACAAAAUUUUGGUUUGAAAACAAUAGAUACUUGAAUAGUAUGUAAAAUAAAUUAAAUAGUUAUUCUGAACAUAUAAAAAAAAGUUCAAUAAAAAUUAAAGACUUAAUCAGUCUCACUGUCACUAUUAUGAUCGCUAUCGAUAUCGCUCUCAUAAAUUCUUUCCAAUUCCAUAUCUGGUGCUUUUAAAAGACCCAAAGCCUCAGGUGAAAACUGUUUUAAAGGUUUACUAGUUUUAUUUCUAAAGCUAUUUAUUACUGGAUCUGAUGCCACUAAAAGAUGAUGCAUUAAAUCCUGCAUUGUAGCUUUCCUGGAAAAUUUUCUGGUGUUGUAUUCUCGCACUUUCUUAAUAUCUUUAUGCAUGCACUCUUGCGCAUCUUCGGAUAGUUGUCCAAUUGGGAUUAACGCAUUUUUUAUGAUGGCUGAGCCAUGUACCAAGAUUUUAUGCACAGUCACCGGCAAAUAGUACCAACUGUAGUGUUCUAAGUACAUAGCUAGAGUUCGGUCUGCAUAAAUCUGAUAUUUUUCUGGAUCAAUUUCAAACCCAGAGGAUAGUACCUGAAGAAGUAUUGCAAAUUUUUUUAUUAACUCCAGGUUCACUCCAGUAAUUAGGCUUGAAGUUUCAGGAUUGUCGAAGAAUUUACGGGCCGUAUUCCCGUCAUUACUGGAUCCGAAACCCUGCUUUACAGUGUCAACCAAAAUAUUUAAUUCUUGUUUAAAUCUUUUUUGCACUUGUUCUUUUUUCUUGUUUGCUAUUUCUUUAUCACUUCCUUUUGCUUGCCAUUUUUUGAAUUCUAAUCUGUAAGAUAUUUUAAGAAGACAUUCCAUUGUUCUGAUUCGUGCAUGUAAAGAAGAUAUACCAAAACUAUAUACUUCUGACUUGGCUUGUUUAUUUAAAAAUUUGUUUGGGUCAUUCAUUUCUUUCGGUCCACAGCCACAAAUAUAGCACUUUUGUGAUGCAAUGUGCAAAAGGGAAUUACAAAUUUUUGUGUCAACCAUGGUAAAGGAAAGAUUUGGUGUAAUUCUUACAGUAUUAUUAUUUUCGAGAUCAUAAGAACAUUUUUUUAACUGUGAAAUUUGCGAUUUAAUCUUGUCUGUUUCAGUUAUAAUAAGUCCUUCGGUUUCUUUUUUUUGCAAAAGCUUAACUGGUCUGCAGAAUCGGGUGCUUGCUGGAGUCGGAUUUUGCCAUAAAAUAUGUUGUUUGCCCUCUGACUCAUAAGAUAAUCGAAUUGGAACAAGGGAAAUUACAAAAAUUGCACUGUCAUCUUCAUUUUCGCAAUUUUCCAUUAAAUAACGUUGCUUGUAGUUAGUAUAACCACUGCUUCCAUCGCAACCCCAUUUUAACAAAAGUUGCAGUUCAGCAUCACCAUUGCAAAAUUGAUUAAGAUCUUCAUUCUGAACGGUACAAAGCCUAUUUAUGGUAUGAUCCAACAGCGAUUGCAGAAUGAUUUCUGCAGAAAUGUCUGUCACGGUAAUAUUUUCAGGAUAACAAUUUUUUUUUGCCUCAAUUAUACCUUUAUCAUACGAGGGUAACAGUUUUAUACCACGACCUUUUAGUUUUUGAUAGACGCUUAUAUAGGACCUCCUGCUCAUUUUACCAUCUAAGAACAUGGCCAAUGCCUCAUUCUUUGAGAAAUUUUCAAAAUUAUUAUUAGUUGAAGUCCUUUGCUCGGCUUUUUUUAGUGCUGUGGCAGCGGUAUUUCGUUCAGAGGCAACCUUUCUUACUAUCAAAGCAGCAUCCCUUUUUCCCUCUGCAUAAAGUUUCACUUGUGCCGCAUACAAAAUUUCUUCUCUUGAGUGCGACUGGAGUAAUCCUUCUAUUUUUUUUCUCUUAUUUUUUUUACAAAGUUCUUCAAAAUUUUUCUGUGGUCUUCCCAUUUUUGAGGUUGAUGGUUGUUCAGCUUGCUCAGCAUUCAAAUCAAAAUUUAUUUGUUGAUUAAGCCAAUUGAAGUUUAAUUCUAGAAAUUUUUUUUCAAUUCGAUAACUUUUUUCCCACUUUUCAGCAAAUUUGUAUCCUAACUUUUUUAGCUUUUCCUUAAUUGAAUUUUCUGAGUCUUCUGGAAGCAUAUCCACAUUAUAUCUUGACAGAAAAUAUGUAUACAUUGCUUCAUUUUUGAUAUCUUUUGAUUUCUCGGUGCGCCAAGCAUCAAACAGGUUUCUGUGAGUAAUGACAACCUCAUCUAAAAAUUGAGAAAAAAAAACAAAGUUGCAAAAAGUUGCAAAUUUUUAUUUUUGUAUUUGAAAGAACAUUGCCGAGGGACCAUAUAAAUUUUUUUAAUUUUACUGGAAUCUGCUGGACUCAAAAUAUAUGACUAGUUGUAAUCAAUUUGUUAAAAUUUAAAAAAUUUUGACAUAUCUAAUAAAAAAAAUUAAAAUCUUAUAUAACGCUACUCAAAUUUUAAAAAAAUCAUACUGUUUGCAAAAGUACAUACCUACAUCCAUUUUAUAAAAUAGGAACCGAAACAACAAACCAAUACACUUUUCACUACGAGCCUUUUACAACUACUUGAAAUUGCAAAUAAAAACUGCUAUAACAUAAACACUUCAGAAAUGCUUUACAUUCUUAUCAAUUAAACCGAUAAGAACUUAUAAUUUUUUGCUUUUUCGUUUGGAUUCAUGCGAGUUCGGCAUAUUUUUAAAAUAUUUCGAGCAAAAAUUAAAUGAACUAUUUUUUCUAAAAAAAUACUUUUGUUCCCCUAGAUUGCCAAAAGUAGUCACUGUGUGGCGGUAGCCCCACUAUUCUGCGACGCCGCACGGCAUUACAAGGGAAGGUUAAAAAUAGAGAGACAGUUAUGCCGCACCCUAUAGAUACCAUUGUUUUAUCUUGUAUAGCAAAAACUGCUAAACUCAUCUCGGGGUAAUGUGCACAACAUAGCCAUUGCAUGUUGUGGUGCUAAAAGUAAACUUACUUACUUUAGCGUAACUAUUUUCCACAGUUUGCAACCGUUUUUACACUUAAAGGAAACUUUUCAUUCCCCCUUGAUAAAAAAGUAAAAAACACCCAGAAUUUCAAUUAGAAAAAAAAACAACACACAGACUGAACAAUAAAAACGUCGCGCCAAAUAAUAAAUUUAAGGUUUAGUUUUAAAAAAAAUAUAUUUAGAGCCUUAGGCACUGGCAGAAAUAUUACUCGAGUAGUUUUUUGUAACUAACUAUCCGUAUGGAAUUGUAAACCACUGGCACAAAAAAAACGGUUGUUAUUUUGGUAAAAAUUUGACAAUAAUACGUGUUUCUAAUGCACUUAGUACGUGACGUUGCACCCCAUAGCCAUAAAAUAUUAUAUGGAUCGUUCUGCUCAAAAAUCGGAAUUAUUCAAGUCGGUGGGGCCAAAACGACAACGCGUAGCCAAAAAAUUAAGUCUACUGCCUACUAUAAUGAAUUAUUAUUAUUAUUAUGAAUAAAUUGAGAUAUUUUUUCAUUGUCUAGACUUGUAAGAUCACGGUCAUGGAUGCGAGAUAUUAUUAUACUAUAACAUCAUUACCACACAUUAGAUUAUAAUAAGCACUGUGUCCAUUAAUGUUCUAGAUGUGAAGUAGACUCGAAUUGUCCACGGUGUAAAUUUAGUCAGUGUUUAGGAUUCUUAGUAAAUAUUAGUUACGGAAUUCUUGUUUUAGUUCUUCCAUGGUGGAUCCUCAGAAAACAUCUUCUAUCGUUUAGUUAGAUUUUAAUUUUAGAUAAAACAUUGGUGUGAUAAAAGUUAUAUAAGCAUUUAUAUUAUAUAGUCUUGUUUUUAAGAUAUAAUUACAAUUCCAUAUUAAGAUUUUGCUAUCGUUUUUUUUUACCAGUUACCAGCCCAUAUCUCAAAAGCAUAAAUCAUAUUAUCAAAGCAUAUACACAUUAUAAUAAUAUAACAUGUUAGUAUGAAUUAAUAGUCGGUUUUGUACUCACAAAUGUAUCGUCAUCAGACCGUUUUUUACUUUGCUAUAAAACUUCCUUAUUGAUUUUAUUUAUAUUUAGGUAGAUUUGUAUAAUAAAAGAAUAUGCAUUUA